rnacentral:rRNA from 1 species
UACGUAGGGUGCGAGCGUUGUCCGGAAUUAUUGGGCGUAAAGGGGCUCGUAGGCGGUUUGUCGCGUCGGGAGUGAAAUCCACUGGCUUAACUGGUGGCUUGCUUUCGAUACGGGCAGACUGGAGGUAUGCAGGGGAGAACGGAAUUCCGUGGUGUAGCGGUGAAAUGCGCAGAUAUCAGGAGGAACACCGGUGGCGAAGGCGGUCUCUGGGCAUGUCCUGACGCUGAGGAGCGAAAGUGUGGGGAGCGAACAGG